AUAUAUGAUCUGCGAAUAUGUUUUAAUGGGCCGAGCGGAAACCUUAAGACGAGCUAUCGAUCCCUUCUCUACAAAGGGCUACAGUCCUAACUACUCCGAGAGCCUUCUCACUAACGUUCUAAGUGAACUGCCGGAAGUCGUCAGGGAUGAAUUUAUACGAAACUGUCAUCAAUUUAAGGAUUUUGAGAGGAUAUUGCAGGAACAAUGUCGCGGUGGCCACGCUACCAAACGGCUUACCGAGAUGUGUGGUGAAGAGGUUGUCACUGGAAUGAGGCCCUAUAUCUACUCGAGUAUUCAUAUAUGCUGGGACAUGCUAUUACAGAAACCUCCGAUGGUUCUCGACUUCAGUAUGGAAAAGGGCUGUAAUAUUAACACAGAAGUAGUGGAUUGUUAUUCGUAUGGUGGUUCUAAGGUAGAAUUUGUAGUCUGGCCUAUAGUAUAUCGACAUAAUGAUGGACCGGUUCUCAGUAAAGGAAUAGUACAAGCUUCUCCUUAAAGCGAGACAUAACAGACAGGACGCAACCACCAGAAGUCUCCAGUAAGAUACGGACACCACGGUGUCUCCCGACCCUAUUACACAGUCUCCAGUAAGAUACGGACACCACAGUGUCUCCGGACCCUAUUACACAGUCUCCAGUAAGAUACGGACACCAGUGUCUCCGGACCCUAUUACACAGUCUCCAGUAAGAUACGGACACAACAGUGUCUCCCGACCCUAUUAAACAGUCUCCAGUAAGAUACAGACACCACAGUGUUUCCGGUAACCAGGUUCCUGCUCCUGCGACCAUGGACACAUGGACUAGCUGCGAUAACGAAGUUCUGGACCACCGACUUGGAGAUUCGUUCUAGGCUUCAACUUACCGUCGAUAUAUACAAUCAGUCCCCGCGGUUUCCUCAACGUUCUUUAAAACAAGGAAAUACAUUAGCUUAAAUUUUCCAUAUGAAAGCAUUGUUUUAUUUAUAGAGGGAAUAUUAGCUUAGGAUUUUCCCUUAAAUUCUCUAAUGCUUUCUUGUGGGGAAAUUUAAUUUCAGGAGCUCGAUAAAACUGGGGCCUGAUUAUUCAAUGUUGAUAUAACAUGGCGUGAAUUUCCUAGUAAAAUUCAAAUACAUUAUCACUGCAACAGACAACGUUGUUUAUUAGAGGCUCAAUAACAAAUUAAUAAAGUGUGUAACACUACAGACAUCUGUACAUUUCUGAAAUAGACAAUGUGUAUUAAAAUACAACUUGUAGUCUUCAAGACUAGUGUAACAUGGCUAAACCAGUACGGAAGAUUAAUAUAUUUCUAACAUUUGUUUUUUUCUCGUGAACAGUUUGCGACUACCACGCCACGUGAAUCGGUGACAAAGAUCCCAAAUUGUGGGGGAAAUAUGUGUAUGAUGAACAUUAAUUGUAUUUCAUAUUCGUUGUUUUGGAAUUUUCUUCUUCAUCGCAUGCAUGACAUUGAUCAAGUCUAACGAAACAAUAACAGAAAAGACAGCGACAAUGAUGACUACCCCCGACGCCCCUAAUACCUUACUGGACAAACGGCCAUCAUAGGCGCUUGUCUUACGUCGGGUGUACGAUGAUAGAAGCUUCUUGUUGACUUUGAGGUCGUCCACAGUAUAGUUAUUCAGCAGAUAUGAAUGACAACUACACAAACAUGUGAAAUUGGUCAUGUUGGAAGUAGUUGAUUGCGGAGGUACUGUUUGAACAGAAGUGGUUACGCUAGCUAACACUGUUUGUGAGACGUAAGAUUGAGUAGAUUCCAUUUGACCGGCCGAGGAUACUUCCCACGGUACAGUCGUCGAGGAAAAAUCCAUCGAUACAAUCGACGAGGAUAUUUCCCUCGAUACAAUCGGCGAGGACGGUAAAAUCGAGGUGGGGACUAAUGGAACAAAAUAAGAAUGUUGUAUAGCACUGGUAUGAGGGAAUUCUGUGACGCCUGAUUCGGUCGAAGUUUCGAACACUGUUGAGAAUUCAGGGUAGGAAGACAGAAUUGUGGUAUCCAGUUGUGUUGGAGUACUGAAUACGUCUUCCAUAGUCGUCAUACUUGAUGUGGGAACAUUAGUGAUCACUGGAGAACAUGGCAAGUCUGUCGUGGUUACUGAUGGUGAGGUGACGUUUGUAGCAAAAGUUACUGAAAUGGAAACACUUUAAUAUGAAAAUAAACAUCGAUAUGAUAUCAUUAUAAACGUAAUAACAUAACAAACUUGUAUCAUACGCUACAUUAUAAAUCCAAGGGUUCUGCUGCCGAUACUUAUUCACUCUUUAGAUAUGUCAAUGAAAUCGCCGUAUUCGCCGGUGAAUCGUGCAUGUCUUUGAUGGAGAUAAACUGUCGACUGUGAUUUGGAUGAUCCACCUCGGGGUUUUGAAAUAAAUAAAGGAUUACUUGAGAAUAAUAUA